rnacentral:rRNA from 1 species
UCGAGAGGCUUCCACAAUGGGGGAAACCCUGAUGGAGCGACGCCGCGUGGGUGAUGAAGGUCUUCGGAUCGUAAAGCCCUUUCAGCAAGGAAGAAUGAACGAAUGAUAAUACCAUUAUGUUCAAGACGGUACUUGCAGAAGAAGCUCCGGCUAACUCCGUGCCAGCAGCCGCGGUAAGACGGAGGGAGCAAGCGUUGUUCGGAUUUACUGGGCGGAAAGGGCGUCUAGGCGGGUUGGUCAGUCAGGGGUGAAACCCCUCGGCUCAACCGGGGAUCUGCACUUGAUACUGCCAAUCUUGAGUAUGGAAGAGGAAAGCGGAAUUCCAGGUGUAGCGGUGAAAUGCGUAGAUAUCUGGAAGAACACCGGUGGCGAAGGCGGCUUUCUGGUCCAAUACUGACGCUAAAGCGCGAAAGUGUGGGGAGCAAACA